GAUGAACGCUAGCUACAGGCUUAACACAUGCAAGUCGAGGGGAAACGACAUCGAAAGCUUGCUUUUGAUGGGCGUCGACCGGCGCACGGGUGAGUAACGCGUAUCCAACCUGCCCACCACUUGGGGAUAACCUUGCGAAAGUAAGACUAAUACCCAAUGACGUCUCUAGAAGACAUCUGAAAGAGAUUAAAGAUUUAUCGGUGAUGGAUGGGGAUGCGUCUGAUUAGCUUGUUGGCGGGGUAACGGCCCACCAAGGCAACGAUCAGUAGGGGUUCUGAGAGGAAGGUCCCCCACAUUGGAACUGAGACACGGUCCAAACUCCUACGGGAGGCAGCAGUGAGGAAUAUUGGUCAAUGGACGAGAGUCUGAACCAGCCAAGUAGCGUGCAGGAUGACGGCCCUAUGGGUUGUAAACUGCUUUUAUAAGGGAAUAAAGUGAGUCUCGUGAGACUUUUUGCAUGUACCUUAUGAAUAAGGACCGGCUAAUUCCGUGCCAGCAGCCGCGGUAAUACGGAAGGUCCGGGCGUUAUCCGGAUUUAUUGGGUUUAAAGGGAGCGUAGGCCGGAGAUUAAGCGUGUUGUGAAAUGUAGACGCUCAACGUCUGCACUGCAGCGCGAACUGGUUUCCUUGAGUACGCACAAAGUGGGCGGAAUUCGUGGUGUAGCGGUGAAAUGCUUAGAUAUCACGAAGAACUCCGAUUGCGAAGGCAGCUCACUGGAGCGCAACUGACGCUGAAGCUCGAAAGUGCGGGUAUCGAACAGGAUUAGAUACCCUGGUAGUCCGCACGGUAAACGAUGGAUGCCCGCUGUUGGUCUGAAUAGGUCAGCGGCCAAGCGAAAGCAUUAAGCAUCCCACCUGGGGAGUACGCCGGCAACGGUGA
rnacentral:rRNA from 1 species